GGAGAGGGAUGGUAUUACUAAACAAAGUGAGAAUAGUUCAAACAAAGUUGCAACCAUAGGAGGAUCGGUUGGAGGAUCUGUCGCAUUUCUUAUUAUUGUGAUUGCUGCUGUAUACCUAUUCAUAAGAUAUCGAACAAAAUUAAGAUAUAAAGAUGAACACAAAAAUGACUACACAGCUCCGUCAGCUUUUUCUCAACAGUCGGAGAACUCGGAUUACGACACACUAGAAACUGUACAAGAUACAUCUGGAGUUGAUAACAACAGUCCAUAUGUAAAUGAACAAGUAACUGGCGUAUAAAGUUUCAACAACGAUUGGUCGAAAAUGGAAA